CGCACAGUGGCUUAGUGGUUAGCACAUUCGCCUCACACCUCCAGGGUCCGGGGAUGAAGCUGUGCUAAAAUCCGGUCCGGGGUUCGAUUCCCGCCGGGGCCG